GUCGCGUCGCGUCGUCAGCCUAUUGCUUGUUCUUGUCUGCAUGUAGGUAAUUCGUUGAUCGGUUCGUUUGUUUGGUCUGUUUGUUCGUCUCUCGAUUUGUUUUCUGUUUAAUUAUUAACUUGCAUGUCUUGCUGCCGUUAUCAUUCGUACACUAUUCGAUUCGAGCCUUUGCCGGCCGGCAACGGCAGCAGCCAGCCCAUCGCGUGCCCAAGCAACAAGCGUGUAAAGCGAAAACGGACAAAACUUUGAGGCCCUAAAUAUCGUAGCGUAUACGAGUGUGAGUGCGAGUGUGCGUGUGUGUGUGUGUGUGUUUUUGUUUUUGUUUGCGCGCGGAUAAGUGUUACUUUUAACAGCAUUAAAUAAACAGUUAACUGAUUAGAAAAGCAGGUGAUUAGAAAACAAGCAUCUCGCGCAAAUGCAGGCCUCGACCAGGAACGUCGACUGUUAUACUCCUUGCCCGAUGAUGAGACUUGGGUAUGAUUCUUAUCUCCAGCAAGUGGCGUGUCGGCGAUCAGACAACAACAAUCGACACGGGUGCCGUGUGAAGUGGAGCAGCAGCUGCGAUUUGGGUCUGCAUCUCUAGACAGCGGCAGCAACAACAACAACAACACAUUAAUGCAAUUUUAUUAUUUAGUUAAUAUCUGCAAUGGCCUUUGUCAUUAUAUUGUAAUGACAAGAUAAUGCCCCUUUAUAUCUCGCUCGACUCAUCUUUUGCGCUCUUUCAACUAAAUAUAUGUAUAUUUAUCCAAAACAAUACCUUUAACAAGUCUUCGGUAAGCCGAAGCUUACAUACCCUGUAAAUAUUAGAAUCCUUCUUUACCCAAGCUUUAUUAACAUGCCUUGACUUUUCCAACUGUUUCAUCUUUCAGGCGAAAUACUUUCGCCAAACGAACUACUUCCUGCCGGAUGAAGAUACCAAAGCAACAACAAGGCGAUAUCAAAAGCGAUAUUAAUUAUCUACAAAAGUAUUCGUAUAUGCGAGGUGCGCAAAAUUCCGCGAACUGCGGUUCAUAUGAAUGCAAACAAACUGAAAAUGGCAAAGACAAAGUGUUUCUCCGGGGUGGCAAGGGGGGGCCAUCUAUCAUUAGCGGCCAAAAUGGAGAAGACGAGUCAUGGGAAAAAUUCCCCCCACCAGGAAGACACCCCCUCCCGCACCAGAUGCCACACUUAUGGACGCCCACGCGCUCAACGCGGCGUAUACGUAAUAUAGAUAUAGCUGAGGCUGGACGUUCCAUGGCUGCGGCGGUGGCUGGCAACCAAGAGAUAAACAGCACCGAAAAAACAAGCCAGAGCGAAGGCGUCAGGAGUAUGCGACUAGCAGAUACCCCGCAUUAAAUGUCGAUAUGCCCAACUUCAUUUAUAUCAUUCAAAAAUAUAUACAAAA